AUCUUAUCAAGAGAAGCUGAGGGACUGGCCCGUCGACGCUUCAGCAACCAGCCAUUUAGGCAAGGUGCUACUUCCAGCAGUAUGUGAUGUUGUCAUACUGAAAAGAUGAGAG
rnacentral:ncRNA from 2 species